rnacentral:piRNA from 1 species
GUUGGGAGUAGGAAUGGCACUGA